rnacentral:tRNA from 1 species
CGGGGGAUGCGGAAAUCGCUGCAUGGGGUGCAGGUGGUCGGAGGUUCAAAUCCUCUCGCCCCGACCA